rnacentral:tRNA from 1 species
GCCCCCAUCGUCUAGGGGACUAGGACGUAGGCCUUUCAAGCCUAAGACCGGAGUUCGAAUCUCCGUGGGGGCA